ensembl:miRNA
CGCUGCGCUUCUGGGCCCGAGCCGGGCGUGGGGCUGCCCGGGCUGGUCGACCAGCGUGCCGCAGCUCCCGAGGCCCGAGCCGCGACCCGCGG